rnacentral:misc_RNA from 1 species
GAUGAAGAACGCAGUGAAAUGCGAUAAGUAAUGUGAAUUGCAGAAUUCAGUGAAUCAUCGAAUCUUUGAACGCACCUUGCACCCUUUGGCAUUCUGAAGGGUAUGCUCGUUUGAGUGUCAUUGUACUCUCACACUCCCGAUCUUUGCAUUGGGAGCAGUGGACUUGGGUUUGCUGCUUCACCGUCGCUUACCUCAAAUAGGUUAGUGCAACUCUUGGUUGGACAUAGUACGGCGUGAUAAGUGUUCUUCGCCGGUGCCUCGCAAAGAGGGUGGCCGAUCGGGAUGUUGUGCUCCAAACCGUCUUCGGACAAUCUCCGACGACUUGACCUCAAAUCGAGUAAGACUACCCGCUGAACUUAAGCAUAUCAAUAAGCGGAGGA